GGCAACGUGUCCGAGUGGUUAAGGAGUCAGACUCGAAUGUCUAAAUUCUGUUAUCUGAUACUUUCGAGUGCGCAGGUUCGAGUCCUGCCGUUGUCG